rnacentral:rRNA from 1 species
CCUACGGGUGGCAGCAGUCGGGAAUAUUGCGCAAUGGAGGGAACCCUGAUGCAGCGACGCCGCGUGAAGGAAGAAGUAUCUCGGUACGUAAAGCUCUGUCAGCAGGGAAGAAAAUGACAGUACCUGACUAGGAAGCUCCGGCUAACUACGUGCCAGCAGCCGCGGUAAUACGUAGGGGGCAAGCGUUAUCCGGAUUUACUGGGUGUAAAGGGUGCGUAGACGGGACAUCAAGUCCGGUGUGAAAUCCCAAGGCUUAACUAUGGGACUGCAACUGAAACUGUGGAGCUUGAGUGCGGGAGGGGCAGGCGGAAUUCCUAGUGUAGCGGUGAAAUGCGUAGAUAUUAGGAGGAACACCGGCGGCGAAGGCGGCUUGCUGGACCGUAACUGACGUUGAGGCUCGAAAGUGUGGGGAGCAAACAGGAUUAGAAACCCGGGUAGUC